rnacentral:lncRNA from 1 species
AAAAACUAUGUAUUAUUAGUGAAACAAAGAAGAAAGAAUUAAGCUGUGACAGUGUGACCUAUAAACAACUUCUUCUAUAAUGCAGAGACAAGAAAUCUCAACAAUACUCAAUCUAAGCAACAGAAGUUGCAUCUCUAAUUUGAAAUGAAAACAAAAACUUCAAAAUUCUGAAAAAUAAGAGCCCAUUCUGGCAGCCUAAAAGUUCAAAAAAAAUAGGAUCUUCAGUUCAUGCCAGUGGCAUUUUUAACUGCAUCAGCUGCCCCUUGUGCCUUGGCCUGCAUUUGCUGCCCCGCCUAUAAAAUUAUCAUCCAGAUAUAACACAUUAGUAAUUUUUUGUCUAAUGACGACAACAACAACAACAAUAUAAUCCAACUUAGUGGGGUCUGGGGAGGGUAGUGUGGACGCAGACCUUGCCCCUACCCUUGGGUAGAGAGACUGUUCCAAAUAGAAACCCGGCAUCCUUCUCUCCAAGAACUUCCCACCUUGCUCUUGGGGAAACUCGAACUCAUAACCUCUCGGUUGGAAGUGGGGGUUGCUUACAAUUAGAGCAACCCCUCUUGUCUAAUGAAUCAGUUAAAAAAAAAUUAAUGGAACAUUAUUAAUGGCCAAACCUCCUGCAUUGUUUCCUUGGCAGAUUGUGCAGCAUUGGCAAGCUUGUCCAUCAUCUGGUUACCCUUUUCCUGAUACAUAAUAAUAUAUAUCACGUGUUAUCAAGCCAGAGCUACAUCGUCAUAAACAUAAAUUGUUGAAUUUCCUAGACAUAACAAAACACCACCAAAAGUGAUUCAAAAUUUUUUUUAUGUCACGGGUUCAAGUCGCAAACAUGGUAUUCUUGUAUUUCUUUUAAUUAAACUGUUAAAAUUUCCAGUUUCGUCACCACAUAUUAUUUAGCUACUAGCUAGGUAUAGCAUAUAGAUUACCUGGGCUUGGCCCUUGGCUUGGCCAGCUUGGUAGCUCAUGUUCUGGGAGUUAUCCAUGAUUAAUUUUGUGUUUGAAAAUUGAGCAAAUAGUGUUAUAGCUGGACUGAGAGAAAACAAACUGUAUUUUUUUGAAGAACUUGGAAUUGUUUGUUG